AAUAUUGCGCAAUGGAGGAAACUCUGACGUAGCGACGCCGUGUGAGCGAUGAAGGUCUUCGGAUCGUAAAGCUCUGCCCUCAGGGAAGAAGAAAUUGACGGUACCUGAGGAGGAAGCCCCGGCUAACUACGCGCCACCAGCCGCGGUAAUAUGUAGGGGGGGUGCGUUGUCCGGAAGUAUUGGGUGUAAAGGGUUCGUAGGCGGUUUUUUAAGUCAGAUGUGAAAGGUCACGGCUCAACCGUGGUAAACAUUUGAAACUGAAAGACUUGAGUUAAGGAGAGGAAAGUGGAAUUCCUAGUGUAGCGGUGAAAUGCGUAGAUAUUAGGAGGAAUACCAGUGGCGAAGGAGACUUUCUGGACUUAUACUGACACUGAGGAACGAAAGCAUGGGAAGCAAAC
rnacentral:rRNA from 1 species